AGGAGGCAAGUACAUCACCUAGUUGUCUUCCUGAAUCAAAAUCAAGCAUCUCUAUAGAGCUCACCAUGGGCCAGGCUCUGUUUCUCCUUGCCCUUCUCAGCUACUGCUCAGGUAUCCGUUCUGAGGCAACAGUGACACAGCCGGCCUCCGCAUCGGUGUCUCUGGGACAAACAGUGAAACUCUCCUGCAUGGGAAGUAGUGAUGGUAAUUGGCUUACCUUCAGCUGGUAUCAACAGAAACCUGGACAGCCCCCUCGCUUUGUGCACUGUGAUGGCUGCAGCAGAGGAGAAGGGAUUCCCGACCGGUUCACGGCUUCUGAAUCUGGGAACACAGGCUUUUUAACCAUCACUAAUGCCCAGGCUGAAGAUGAGGCCAAUUAUCACUGUGCUGCCUGGGAGGGUACAAGCGAUAUGUCUCACAGUGGUUUAUUCUGAUGGGGAACUGAGACA